GCAGGCCUUCCGUCUGGGGGUCUGGGGGAAAAACGCUAGCCUCUGCAUGGGGUUCCUUCGGGCCUUCAACUUGAAGCAGCCAAUUUACAUAUGCUGUGAUAACUGAUAUACCGGCAUACAUUUAAAUUAUAUAUAAUGUUUCCUUAUAGAGCGUUUGUUCGCUCGCUCUCCCACAUUCCGCCCCUCACCAGUCGCACAAACACAAAAAUAAGGCUAGUUCUAAUGUCAGUAGAACAAGAGCUGGUGGCUCAGGCUGCUUGGGACGCGAGUUCUCGCGCUGCUGACCGCUCGUUGACCAGCUCGGCGACGCUGCUGCUGAGACGUCAGCUGAAGCCAGCUAUCACAUGAGACUUACAACUGUGCCUCACAAAUGAUCAGCUCUGCUUUUAAUGUUUUAAUGGGGAAGUGUUGGUCAAAAACGCCAUACAUUCAACAUCACGACCGUUGUCACGCCUCACGGAAGUCCACAGGUUAGUCCACAGGUUAAAAUGAGAAUGGGAGGCUUUGAACCUGCAGCCCGGAUUGCCCGCCCGGCCAUAUGUCACAACCCCGUGUGUGUAUGUGUACUUGCAGGAUCCUCCGCCAUGCUCUUGAGGACCGGAGCCAGGAGCCGUUCGAGGGUGAGCCCAUGGAGAGGGUACCUGCAAGCAGAGAACUGCGGUCUUCGUGCGGGGUUGGGAGGGCGAGCCCGAAGCGCCGUGUAGCCACGCAAAGAUAGAGCGUAGCCAGGGACGACGGCGUCAGUACUGACAGAACGAAACUCGCAAAGUAGCGAGCGCGACACAGCGCUCUGCUACUUAACCGGGCCCACCGCCCAUGCCGCGCAUGGGCCCCAAACAACAAACACACACACGCCACGCCCCUUCGGGGCCCACAACUGUGCACACUCCGAGCGCAGGAAACCUUGGUUUCCGACAACUCGCUGCGCUCGAGCGGAAACCAUCAGGAAAUAUGUUUGAGCAGAUGCCGUAGAUGCAGGUAGAUGCAGGUAGAUGCAGGUCCCCAGCGGCUGCAACCCUGGCGCAAGAUGGUUCACAACCCCUUCACUCACGUUGUGUUUGCUGGUCGGAGCCUUCAAGAGAUGACUGUUUGCUGCCUCCCUUACUAGCUCUGUAUGGUAUGUAUGUCUAUAUCACUUCCUGGUACCUCUAGUCCGUGUCACAUACCCGCCUGCUGCCACACGCCCCUUCCCCCAGGUCGGCUGGCUGGACUGCCGCCACACCUCCAACAUUGUGUUUAGCAAUGGUGAGUGUUCGCAUCACCAAUAGGCCUACACACCGGAACACAUACAGGCCCGCUUCAUGAGAUAGGUCCGGUGCACUGCCAAGCACUCUGUUCUUUGCUGGCAGCCUUGCAUUGGCAUUGGCACCUUGCGGCAGGAGUGCAGGGUGUGUUCACAUGUGUGCACGCGUGGAUGCAGGUGCAGCCAGUGGAGGCAGAACUACAGGAGCUAGCAUGAUACAAGCUGUCCGGCACUAGAGCUGGAGACGGGCGUGGUGGCACCAGUGGCGGCUGCUGUGGAGGCGGGUGAUGUGCCGACUGCAGUGGAGGCAGGUGUCAAGGUGGUGGGAGACAUCAUGCCCAGCAGACACGCAAGUGGUUGUUGCACGGUUGACACACUCAUACCAUUUAGACAUCAUAUGGCAGGCUUGGGUUGAUGGCACAGACUUCAUAUAGUGUUGUAGACAGUGGCAGACCGGGAGAGCAAGACUGUGGUGGGCUUUGAAUGCACGGAGACUCAGCUGGAGAGUGCCAAGGUGUAGGGAAGUAGAGGGCUAACUGAGUAUGGUGUUGUUGGUGAGUUGGACUGGGAACACAAGGCAGGUGACCUCCUCGCUGCCCUGCCACCGUUGGUCUCUUGGGCACGAGAUGAAGUACAUUGAUGCAGUCAGUGGAAUGCAGUAGUACUGGUGCGUGGGGGCAGUUGACAUGGGUUGGUGAGGGCACUUGGCAUAAAAUGCAGCAGGCUGAUGUGUGUGGUCACUGCUAGGGCAGGGCUUGUAUCAAGGUGGAAUCAUAUAAAGGAGACACUUUACAGGCCAUAAUGAACAACCCUAAACCCAGGCUGGCAGGCGGGCUGGGCGGGGGCUGCACGGCAUGCAGCUGGGCGGGGGCUGGGCGGGCCUGGGCGGGGGCUGGGCGGGCCUGGGAGGGGGCUGGGUGGAGG
rnacentral:lncRNA from 1 species